rnacentral:lncRNA from 1 species
UAUAAACAUCAUCUAAGAGGAUGAAGAAAUGAAAUAUGAAGAAAAAAUAUGACAAUGACAAAUAUAAUGCCAAUGACACUGAAGCUGAGAGCUGAAUAGCAAGAAGCAGCAAGGCAUGGAAGAGCCCAAGUAAGAAGGAGCCCAGAAUCUGACGUCACCUUUUCUCAAGUUAUUCAAUUCAAAUACCUUCCAAUUGCAUAUAUCUAUUACCCAUAGCCCUCUACUGCCUGUGAGACUGAAAAGGGACAAAAAGACAACACAUUGGAGGCCGAGGAGGGCAGAUCACCUGAGGUCAGGAGUUCGAGAGCAGCCUUACCAACAUGGUGAAGCCCCAUCUCUAAUAAAAAUACACAAAUUAGCCAGGCAUGGUGGCACAGGCCUGUAAUCCCAGCUACUUGGGAGGCUGAGGCAGGAGAAUCUCUUCAACCUGGGAGGCGGAAGUUGCAGUGAGCCAAGACCGCAACAAUGCACUCCAGCCUGGACAACAAGACUGAAACUCCAUCUCAAAAAAAAAAAAAAAAAAAUACAACACAAUGUUAAAAGUGGCCCCAUCCUUCCCUUUACUGUUCAGGAUUUAUCACAGGGGCUAAAAUAGGUACAGAAUAUGAUAGUAAAGAAAUCAAAUCCCUUUGGCAUGAUUACAGAGUUGAAUCAACCAAGAUAAAGAAGAAUAUGAUGAAAAGAAGUUGAGAAUUUUACCUCUAAAUUCAUUAUCAUACUAUAAACCAGAGAUUUGACCUAGAGAUGAUGCACUUUUUUCUUGUCCUUAAAAUGCUUUUUCUUUGAUUAUCAUUUUCAGAAAUGCUGUAUAAGAUUUCCACACCCAUGGCACUACAAUAGACUAUGUAGAAGUUGGACAAGAUAUACAGCUUCUAGUAUUCUAUAUGCUAAGACUGCAGUGAACUUCUCCAUUGAAUU